UUCCGGUUGAUCCUGCCGGAGGCUACCGCUAUUGGAGUUCGAUUAAGCCAUGCGAGUCGAGAGUCUUAGGGACUCGGCGUACCGCUCAGUAACACGUGGGUAACCUGCCCUAUGCUGGGGAAUAACCUCGGGAAACUGAGAAUAAUACCUCAUAGUCCACAAUGCCUGGAACGGUUUGUGGAUUAAAGCCCCGGCGGCAUAGGAUGGGCCUGCGGCGUAUCAGGUUGUAGGGGGUGUAACGUACCCUCUAGCCAUCAACGCGUACGGGUGUUGGGAGACAUAGCCCGGAGAUGGAUUCUGAGACACGAAUCCAGACCCUACGGGGUGCAGCAGGCGCGAAAACUUGGCAAUGCGAGAAAUCGUGACCAGGGAACUCCAAGUGGCUGGGGUAAGACCCAGUCUUUUCUUGACUCUUCAAAGGUCUUGGAAUAAGAGGUGGGUAAGGACGGUGCCAGCCGCCGCGGUAAUACCGGCGCCUCAAGUGGUAGUCGAUUUUAUUGGGCCUAAAACGUCCGUAGCCUGUUUGGUACAUUCGUGGGUAAAUCAACCAGCUUAACUGGUUGAAUUCUGCGAGCACGGCCAGACUUGGGACCGGGAGAGGUGUGGGGUACGCUCAGGGUAGGGGUAAAAUCCUGUCAUCCUGAGCGGACCACCUGUUGCGAAGGCGCCACACUAGAACGGAUCCGACGGUCAGGGACGAAG
rnacentral:rRNA from 1 species